CCCUUAGAUGUUCUGGGCCGCACGCGCGCUACACUGAUGCAUUCAUCAAGCUUACCACCUCGGCUGAGAAGCCCGGGUAAUCUUUUCAAAGUGCAUCGUGAUGGGGAUAGAUGAUUGCAAUUUUUCAUCUUCAACGAGGAAUUCCUAGUAAACGCAAGUCAUCAGCUUGCAUUGAUUACGUCCCUGCCCUUUGUACACACCGCCCGUCGCUACUACCGAUUGAAUGGUUUGGUGAGCCUCACGGAUUGGCGGCCUCGCUGGCUUCGGCUUGUUUGGCUGUCGAGAAGUGAUGCAAACCUGACUAUUUAGAGGAAGUAAAAGUCGUAACA
rnacentral:rRNA from 1 species